rnacentral:lncRNA from 1 species
UUUGGCUAAGUGGUGGUUAUGGUUGCAUCCUAUCCUCAUUACUUUCAGCCAGCAUGUAAUUGUUUUCGUUGGUGUAGUGUCCAAACAUGUCCCUGUGUGGUAGCUUCUUUGCAUGUUUUUUGCAUUCCUUAAGUUUAGGACCAUCUACUCACCCAUUUUGCUAUGUUUACAUCAAUUUUUUUUCUUUUAGGUUCGAAUAUGUGAAUUGAUAUGGUUUUUGUUUCACAGGUUUAAUUUUAAUAAUUAGGCAAAUUGUUGUGUUCGUAACUUGAUAAUAAAUAUAUUAACUUAGUAGAGUGAUACUGCUACUAUGCUUUACAUGUAUUUUUGUGCUUUACAUGUAUUUUUUAAUAUUAAGAGUCUCACUUUACAAGUGUUUUCAAGUAGGGACAAUCCUCACCUUACAAUUCAGUUUUGUAGGGAUGAGUUAGUCCCAACCUACAAUUUCUAAAGAUGGUAUAGG